AUCUGUGGUAAUUCUAGAGCUAAUACAUGCACCAAAGCUCCGACUCUGUGACGAGCGCAUUUAUUAGAACAAAACCAAUCGAGCUUCGGCUCGGUUGUUGGUGACUCUGAAUAACUACGGCUGAUCGCAUGGUCUCGUACCGGCGACAUGUCAAUCAAGUAUCUGCCUUAUCAACUUUCGAUGGUAGGUUAUGUGCCUACCAUGGUUGUAACGGGUAACGGAGAAUAAGGGUUCGACUCCGGAGAGGGAGCCUGAGAAACGGCUACCACAUCCAAGGAAGGCAGCAGGCGCGCAAAUUACCCACUCUCGGCAUGAGGAGGUAGUGACGAAAAAUAACGAAACCGAUCUCAAUGAGGCCGGUUAUCGGAAUGAGCACGACUUAAACCCUCUAACGAGGAUCUAUGAGAGGGCAAGUCUGGUGCCAGCAGCCGCGGUAAUUCCAGCUCUCAAAGUGUAUAUCGUCAUUGUUGCGGUUAAAAAGCUCGUAGUUGGAUCUGCGCCUGAGGACUCGGUCCGUCCACUGGGCGUGAACUGAGCUCCUAGGCAGUUUUGCUGGUUUUCCCUUCGUUGCCUUAAUUGGUAGCGUCGGGUGGCUAGCGAGCUUACUUUGAAAAAAUUAGAGUGCUCCAAACAGGUUUACGCCUGUAUAGCCGUGCAUGGAAUAAUGGAAUAGGAUCUCGGUUCUAUUUUGUUGGUU
rnacentral:rRNA from 1 species